rnacentral:rRNA from 1 species
CAGCACCUCGGGGGGCACUCUAAGAGACUGCCGGGACAAACCGGAGGAAGGUGGGAUGACGUCAAGUCAUCAUGGCCCUUACGGCCAGGGCUACACACGUGCUACAAUGGUCGGUACAAAGGGUUGCCAAGCCGCGAGGUGGAGCUAAUCCCAUAAAACCGAUCGUAGUCCGGAUCGCAGUCUGCAACUCGACUGCGUGAAGUCGGAAUCGCUAGUAAUCGUGAAUCAGAAUGUCACGGUGAAUACGUUCCCGGGCCUUGUACACACCGCCCGUCACACCAUGGGAGUGGGUUGCUCCAGAAGUAGCUAGUUUAUAUGCAAGGGGAACGGUUACCUAGGGUGUUAUAAGCUUGUAAAAU